rnacentral:rRNA from 1 species
AUUGAACGCUGGCGGCAGGCCUAACACAUGCAAGUCGGACGGUAGCACAGAGAGCUUGCUCUUGGGUGACGAGUGGCGGACGGGUGAGUAAUGUCUGGGGAUCUGCCCGAUAGAGGGGGAUAACCACUGGAAACGGUGGCUAAUACCGCAUAACGUCGCAAGACCAAAGAGGGGGACCUUCGGGCCUCUCACUAUCGGAUGAACCCAGAUGGGAUUAGCUAGUAGGGGGGGUAAUGGCCCACCUAGGCGACGAUCCCUAGCUGGUCUGAGAGGAUGACCAGCCACACUGGAACUGGGACACGGUCCAGACUCCUACGGGAGGCAGCAGUGGGGAAUAUUGCACAAAGGGCGCAAGCCUGAUGCAGCCAUGCCGCGUGUAUGAAGGAGGCCUUCGGGUUGUAAAGUACUUUCAGCGGGGAGGAAGGCGACGCGGUUAAUAACCGCGUCGAUUGACGUUACCCGCAGAAGAAGCACCGGCUAACUCCGUGCCAGCAGCCGCCGUAA